AGUAACGCGUGGGUAACCGUGCCUCAUACAGGGGAGUAACAAGUUAGAAAUAGACUGCUAAUACCGCAUAAGCGCACAGUGCUGCAUGGCACAGUGUGAAAAACUCCGGUGGUAUGAGAUGGACCCGCGUCUGAUUAGCUAGUUGGUGGGGUAACGGCCUACCAAGGCGACGAUCAGUAGCCGGCCUGAGAGGGUGAACGGCCACAUUGGGACUGAGACACGGCCCAA
rnacentral:rRNA from 1 species